ACCAAGUGAUACCCAGUAUCUACCUGAGCUACAAUUCAAGUAGUUGGUGUCUUCAGAGAGACUUGUAUUCUAGCUCAGGUAGAUAUUGAAUGAAAAA
rnacentral:pre_miRNA from 1 species